rnacentral:lncRNA from 1 species
GUCUAAGGACUUUUCUCCUUCUCUUUGCCGCAACAACAAGGUUGGAAUGAUGUUGAAGGGUUGGUUAUUUGGAGGAAUGGAUGGGAAGGGGUUUAGAUAUGUAGGAGAGGCAAGGAAAGGCUUGGAGAAUGGUUAAUUUCUGGAUGAUUUGAAUGAGGUUGAUGCCAUGGUAUUUAUAGGAAAGAGGAUGGACUUGUUUUAACACAAAAUGUUGGUGGAAUUGAGUAGGUGAGCAUGGCAAAGAGUGGGAAUUGUUGGUGGGUUAGGUAUUGAGUCAUCCACUCACAUGUCAUGGUUAGCUAAGCAUUGCAUCAUCCACUCACAUGUCAUGGUGAGCUAAGCAUUGCAUCAUCCACUCACAUGUCAUGGUGAGUUAAGCAUUGCAUCAUUACUCAAAUUUCUGGUGGAGGUGGAAGUAAAAGCCACGACAUUGAUGUGUUUUGAGUGAAGUUUUGGCCAAUCCUUCUAGAAAUUUAUCCCUUCUUGCAACUUGUAUUUGUUUCACCAGAUUUUUAGCAUGUUCUUAGCCUCUUUUGUCUUCAAAUUCGUCCAUCCAUCUUGCUCAUAUCAUAUGUAAUCCAUUCCAAGCUCAAAACUGCUCCAAAAUGCACCAAAAUGCACCAAAAUGCACUUUCUUGCUACCUUAGCCCUUUGGACCUACAACACACGAAAAUGGCUUAAAAUACUAAAAUAACUAAGAACUAAUAACGUAAAUGCAAGAAAACUAGUUAACUAAGUCGCAUAAAUAUGCGUCUAUCACUUUUCUCCUUAGUCUAUGGGUUUUUCUCCCACCUUGGGUUUUACCAUAGCGAGGUUUUGUGAGUUUUACUUUUUAUGCAUUCUUCUGUUGAUUUGAGACUUGCAUUCGCUCUUUGUGCUAACGACUUCAUAAACUAUACUUACUUCAUCGCUGAAGACCUGAUGCGCCAUUUACUUGAGUAUUUACACACUCAAGGGGGAGUGUUGUGGUCCUAUUAGAUUAGGAAUGUGAUUGUGUAAAUCCUAGUAGUUCUAGGAAUAUCUCUUAUAUUCCUAUUAGGAGUUGAUUACCUAUUAAGAGUUGUAAUCCUAAAAGGGUAAGGAAUUAAGCUUCCCUAAUACUAUAAAUAAAGGCACAAUGGGGUGGAAUAGAACACAACCACAAUUACACAUUUCUCUCUUCUCUCUCUAUAUGCCGAACCCUCUCUAUUUCUCCAUAUGGCCUCCAUAAUUGUUUAGUAAUUUAUGCCUACAACAAUUGUUGUAUUAUUCGUCAAAAAAUAAACAAUAAUUUUGUUCGCUAUGAUUAAAACUAGAAAGUGUUUAAACAAAAAAAAUAAUCUCAAAAUUAACAAACAAAGGCAUACUUCUAGGGAUUUCUCACUUGCCACUUAGUACUAUGGUCUGGUGGAUUUCUCAUCACUAGUAACUAAUAGGUCUUAGGUUUGGUUCUCGCUAGAGGCGAAUUUGAACCACAUUAUUGUUAGCCCAUUGUGAGGCUUAGCCAACUCCACUACCCCCUUAAUGUAUAUUAUUUAUUCAUAAAAAAAAAAAUGCCUCACUUACACCCAAAGUCAAUUAGAUACCUAUCUUUUUUAUUUUAUCAGAAAACCAUCUUCAUUAAACAACAAGAGAGGGGAAACCCCUACAAAACGAUAGGCAAGACAUAGCCACCAAGUCCCCUAGAAAUACAUAUAAAAACUCCAAAACCUAUAAUAACGCAGAAAGACCUAAGAAAAUGAUAAUAAGGCUCGAAGCAGACGCUUAAGUCGCCAUUUUCAAGGAUUCCAAAGCCCAGUAGCACUCCUAAGGUGGACAAGGAAGGCCUUUAAUGGAAAGAACAUGCACAAGAGCAGAUAGGGGUCUACGUACCUAGACAGCCAGACACAUCCCUCGUAAACUUUACGAGGCAACCCAAUCAGCUGUCGAAUUGGCUUGGCGGGGGAUCCAACACCAUUUAGUAAAGCGAAAGCGGUGACGGAGAUUCCAAAUUUGACGAAUGAGUGGAAAAAUAGACCACCUAACAGGAUUUUUUCCACAGUUAAUACUCUUGGCUAGGACCUCAGAAUCGGAUUUGAAGAUCACCCAGGAGAUUUAUUUUGUAGAGCAGUUUUCAUGGCCAAGAUAGCUGCAUGAGCUUCCACUUAUAAAGGGGUAGCUGCAAAACCAGAGGCAUUCGCACCCGUAAUAAGAGACCCCUGAUCAUCCAUUAAGACCAUCCCAAGGACCAUACAGUGAGAAUCCUUCGACUACAGAGCCAGAAAUUUCUUCUAGUAGGGGCAACAAAAAACAACUAAGAAAACCUUAUUAUAGUAUGGUUAUAUGCAAUAUGAUAUUAAGGAUGGUUUCAAAUGAUGAUGUUGUAAUAAUAUGAGCAUAAGUAUGAAUCUAUGAACUUAGUUAUUGGUCUUGAGAUUGAAUGGGAAGUCUUAUUGGGAAUGGAUUUUGUAAUCCAUAUUACAUUGGACUAUUAUUUAAGGGAUUAGUUUCCUAUAAGGAUUCUAAUAGAGGAAUCCUUAUGGGAUUUGGCAAGGAUUAUGUUAUGUAUAUAUAGUGGCCUCUGCUCUCACAAUUGAUAUGCUCGAUUACAAACUAAGAUCUAUUAUUAGUUAAGAGCAAAACCGAUUAUUGGAGAGAGGAGAAGGUGCACUGCAACCUUACAGCGAAACUUGGUCAUGCCUGCUUCUUCGAGUUCAUCUGUAGGUAUGAUCUUCUCCGUACAUUAGUUUAAUGAACAUCAAUUUGUGUUUUGAUCACAGUAAUUCAUAUUACUUGUUCUUGGUUUGUGUUUCAUCUAAC